GCAACCAAUAGGUCUUUUACCAGGAGGAAGCCGAACAAUAGACCAAGUGUUAUUAGCUUCCAAGGCUGCAAAAUCAGUUGUCAUUGCCUCCUGCCAUGCAGGGAGAGAGGCAGCCUGCUGAUAAGAGGUAGGCUCUACCUCUGCACUGUUAACCAAACUGUAAAGGCAGGUGGAAGAAGAACUGGGGCCAGAAAGAGAUGGAAGGAGAGUGCAAACAUGGUGUUGGAGAUGAGCAGGAGGUACAUGAGUCCUGCUGGACCUUCUAGGAGCAGGUUCUGCAGGCACAGAAGGAGAAUGGUGUGGAGAAGAAGGGAAUGAAGAAGUAGAAGCAAGGGGUUCAGGCACAGAAGGAGAUGUUGAGGAAGUAUUGAGCAAGGAUUCAUCAACAUGAGGAAGCCAAGCAGGAGAUAGAU
rnacentral:lncRNA from 1 species